rnacentral:rRNA from 1 species
GCGCGAAAACUUUACAAUGCUGACAACAGCGAUAAGGGAACCUCGAGUGCCAGGUUACAAAUCUAGCUGUCGAGAUGCCUAAAAAGUAUUUCAUAGCAAGGGCCGGGCAAGACCGGUGCCAGCCGCCGCGGUAACACCGGCGGCUCGAGUGGUAACCGUUAUUAUUGGGUCUAAAGGGUCUGUAGCCGGCCGGAUAAGUCUCUUGAGAAAUCUGGCAGCUUAACUGUCAGGCUUUCAGGAGAUACUGUCUGGCUCGAGGCCGGGAGAGGUGAGAGGUACUUCAGGGGUAGGGGUGAAAUCUUGUAAUCCUUGAAGGACCACCAGUGGCGAAGGCGUCUCACCAGAACGGACCUGACGGCAAGGGACGAAAGCUAGGGGCACGAACC